UUCAGGUGACGAUUCUUCAAGCGGUCGUAGUCCAGAAGCAAAAGACGUGGCUCCUGUCGCUCCCAUUCGCCCAGGUCCUCCAGUUCAAAGUUCACCUCCCCAGGUGGCUGUUCACGGCUCAGCCCAUUCGAUGACCUUUGAACCCCUGACUGGGUUAAUUAUUCCUCUGCUCCUGAUGCUGUCGCCAUGGGAACGCCGCUGACAACGAAGCCAGUGAAGGUUGAAGGAGGACCGCGUGCCGCCAUGUUGGAUUCGUGACGGUUCAGCCGAACUGUUCUGAUUGGUGGAACAAGCUGCUGGUGCAAAGAACACCUUUUUUACUAUUACCUGUAACUGACCUACCUGUGUUUGUGUUUAAUGGUGAUAGGAUAGUUCGCACAGCAUUACUGACGUUUUUUGGAGAAGAUGUAAAUACAAGUAUAUAUAAAUUAUAUAUUUAUAUUGAGAGGUUCAGUAGAUCAUAGCCUGAUGUGUACAUUGAGUUUAUUGUGGAACAAAAUGGUAAAAUGCUAGGAUGGUAAUGAGUUUUCUUAUUUCAGUAUGGUCAAGAAAUUAAUUUACGUUUACCUUUUUGUUACCACUACAGCAAAACUCCUGCAAAUAUGUAAUAUUUGUCAAAGUGAGGAUGGUGCAUGCAGGGAGGUUCUUUCUUAAAAGGCUAAACAAACUUAUCUGAUGCUUCUGCUGCUUGCCAGUCUGUGCACACUGGUCUCGCCUUGCAGGGUUUAUCUCCAUAGGAAGACUUUGUGAUAAUCUGACUGCAAAAGGUAUCAUUUUGGACAUUUUGUCAUCAUGCCCUGCAGUGUUUGGAUUUCUUAAGCCAAUAAGAAACAUCCAGGUCCAGGUUUUUAUUGAGGAAUUUGGUGACAUUAUAAUUUUACUAGUUAAUUUGGUCAGAUACAUGAAUUAGCAAUGUGGUGAUUUUGCAAAAUACAGUUGAAAAACCACCACAUUCUAGUGCAGAAACUUUUUAUCAUGAGUUUUGUUGAAAUUCUCUUGUUUUCAUUAAGCAAAUUUAUUUCUGUAAUUCCAGUUUGCGACCGAUGGAGAAGCAGCUAGCUGGCCAGUAAGGCGAACUUUAAAGCUCAUUGGUUGAAAGCAUUUCCAAUGCCAUGGACCCCUUGCAUGUUAUUGUUUACGUCCCGAAAUUUCGCGCAUAUGCACAAGGCAGGAAGGCAAAAGGAUGAUUUUUUUACUUGCUAUCCAUAGCCGCGUUGCAGCAGCAGAACGACUCUGUUGACAAAAUGAAACCUGGAGAUUUAAGUAUUAUUAAUUUAGUGCUAUGCGCCACUGCAAAGGGAAGAAUAAUGCUG